UGAGUUUAGCAGAACAUUCUGGAAAGUAUAGCCAUAGAGGGUGAUAGUCCCGUAUGCGAAAAACAAACCUUAGCUAGCAGUAUCCUGAGUAGGGCGGGACACGAGAAAUCCUGUCUGAAGCUGGGUCGACCACGAUCCAACCCUAAAUACUAAUACCAGAUCGAUAGUGCACAAGUACCGUGAGGGAAAGGUGAAAAGAACUGAGGUGAUCAGAGUGAAAUAGAACCUGAAACCAUUUGCUUACAAUCAUUCAGAGCCCUAUGUAGCAAUACAGGGUGAUGGACUGCCUUUUGCAUAAUGAGCCUGCGAGUUGUGGUGUCUGGCAAGGUUAAGCAAACGCGAAGCCGUAGCGAAAGCGAGUCUGAAUAGGGCGCUUAGUCAGAUGCUGCAGACCCGAAACGAAGUGAUCUAUCCAUGAGCAAGUUGAAGCUAGUGUAAGAACUAGUGGAGGACUGAACCCAUAGGCGUUGAAAAGCCCCGGGAUGACUUGUGGAUAGGGGUGAAAGGCCAAUCAAACUUCGUGAUAGCUGGUUCUCUCCGAAAUAUAUUUAGGUAUAGCGUUGUGUCGUAAUAUAAGGGGGUAGAGCACUGAAUGGGCUAGGGCAUACACCAAUGUACCAAACCCUAUCAAACUCCGAAUACCUUAUAUGUAAUCACAGCAGUCAGGCGGCGAGUGAUAAAAUCCGUCGUCAAGAGGGAAACAACCCAGACUACCAGCUAAGGUCCCUAAAUCUUACUUAAGUGGAAAACGAUGUGAAGUUACUUAAACAACCAGGAGGUUGGCUUAGAAGCAGCCAUCCUUUAAAGAAAGCGUAAUAGCUCACUGGUCUAGUGAUUUUGCGCGGAAAAUAUAACGGGGCUAAAGUAAGUACCGAAGCUGUAGACUUGCACACAA
rnacentral:rRNA from 1 species